CGGCGAUGAUGAUAUUUUUUCCCAACAUCUGCAGUUUCCACCAGAGAGACCUCCGGGUCUUGAUGAUGGUUUAAACUUCCUUGGAUGUCUGAGCUG